rnacentral:tRNA from 1 species
UCCCUGGUGGUCCAGUGGUUAAGACUCUGUGCUGUCAGUGCAGGGGGCUCAGGUUCGAUCCUUGGUCAGAGAA